rnacentral:rRNA from 1 species
AUGGGGUGCAGCAGGCGCGAAAACUCCGCAAUGCCCGCAAGGGCGACGGGGGGACCCCGAGUGCCCCUGCACUGCAGGGGCUUUUGCGGAGUGUAAAAAGCUCCGCGAAUAAGGGCUGGGCAAGACCGGUGCCAGCCGCCGCGGUAACACCGGCAGCCCGAGUGGUGGCCGCUAUUAUUGGGCCUAAAGCGUCCGUAGCCGGGCUGGUAAGUCCCCCGGGAAAUCUGGCGGNNUAACNNUCAGACUGCCGGGGGAUACUGCCAGCCUAGGGACCGGGAGAGGCCGGGGGUAUUCCCGGGGUAGGGGUGAAAUCCUGUAAUCCCGGGAGGACCACCUGUGGCGAAGGCGCCCGGCUGGAACGGGUCCGACGGUGAGGGACGAAGGCCAGGGGAGCGAACCGGAUUAGAUACCCGGGUAGUCCUGGCUGUAAACGAUGCGGGCUAGGUGUCGGGCGAGCCACGANCUCGCCCGGUGCCGGAGGGAAGCCGUUAAGCCCGCCGCCUGGGGAGCACGGCCGCAAGGCUGAAACUUAAAGGAAUNGGCGGGGGAGCAC